rnacentral:SRP_RNA from 1 species
GGCGGGUCUCCUUACAUGGCGAUCCGGAACAACGGGUCAGGGGCGGAAGCCAGCAGCCCACUCCGGAAAGUCAGUGCUGAGGGUCAGGCUCGCCGCC